GACGGAGGAUGCAAGCGUUAUCCGGAAUGAUUGGGCGUAAAGCGUCCGCAGGUGGCAGUUCAAGUCUGCUGUCAAAGACCGGGGCUUAACUUCGGAAAGGCAGUGGAAACUGAACAGCUAGAGUAUGGUAGGGGCAGAGGGAAUUCCUGGUGUAGCGGUGAAAUGCGUAGAGAUCAGGAGGAACACCGGUGGCGAAGGCGGAUCUCUGGGCCUUACCUGACGCUGAGGCGCGAAAGCUAGGGGAGCGAACAGG
rnacentral:rRNA from 1 species